CAGCAGUGGGGAAUAUUGCACAAUGGGGGAAACCCUGAUGCAGCGACGCCGCGUGGAGGAAGAAGGUCUUCGGAUUGUAAACUCCUGUUGUUGAGGAAGAUAAUGACGGUACUCAACAAGGAAGUGACGGCUAACUACGUGCCAGCAGCCGCGGUAAAACGUAGGUCACAAGCGUUGUCCGGAAUUACUGGGUGUAAAGGGAGCGCAGGCGGGAAGACAAGUUGGAAGUGAAAUCUAUGGGCUCAACCCAUAAACUGCUUUCAAAACUGUUUUUCUUGAGUAGUGCAGAGGUAGGCGGAAUUCCCGGUGUAGCGGUGGAAUGCGUAGAUAUCGGGAGGAACACCAGUGGCGAAGGCGGCCUACUGGGCACCAACUGACGCUGAGGCUCGAAAGUGUGGGUAGCAAACAGGAUUAGAUACCCUGGUAGUCCACACCGUAAACGAUGAUUACUAGGUGUUGGAGGAUUGACCCCUUCAGUGCCGCAGUUAACACAAUAAGUAAUCCACCUGGGGAGUACGACCGCAAGGUUGAAACUCAAAGGAAUUGACGGGGGCCCGCACAAGCAGUGGAGUAUGUGGUUUAAUUCGACGCAACGCGAAGAACCUUACCAAGACUUGACAUAUACAUGAAAGCCUAAGAGAUUAGGCCCCUCUUCGGAGCGUGUAUACAGGUGAUGCAUGGUUGUCGUCAGCUCGUGUCGUGAGAUGUUAGGUUAAGUCCUGCAACGAGCGCAACCCUCGUGAUUAGUUGCCUGAAGAAGGAACUCUAAUCAGACUGCCGUAGUUAAUACGGAGGAAGGUGAGGAUGAUGUCAAAUCAUCACGUCCCUUAUGUCUUGGGCUACACACGUACUACAAUGGGUGUUACAGAAAGAAGCGAAACCGCGAGGUGGAGCAAAACUCAGAAAAGCACCCCUAGUUCGGAUUGGAGGCUGCAACCCGCCUCCAUGAAGCUGGAAUUGCUAGUAAUCACAGGUCAGCAUACUGUGGUGAAUACGUUCCCGGGCCUUGUACACACCGCCCGUCACACCAUGAGAGUUGAGAAUACCCGAAGCCCAUGUAACAGUGGUCGAAGGUAGGCUUGAUGAUUGGGGUGAAGUCGUAACAAGGUAGCCGUAUCGGAAGGUGCGGCUG
rnacentral:rRNA from 1 species